UACGGAGGAUGCAAGCGUUAUCCGGAAUCAUUGGGCGUAAAGCGUCCGCAGGUGGCAGUUCAAGUCUGCUGUCAAAGACUGGGGCUUAACCCUAGAAAGGCAGUGGAAACUGAACAGCUAGAGUGCGGUAGGGGUAGAGGGAAUUCCCGGUGUAGCGGUGAAAUGCGUAGAGAUCGGGAAGAACACCAGUGGCGAAAGCGCUCUGCUGGACCUGCACUGACACUGAGGGACGAAAGCUAGGGGAGUGAAUGGG
rnacentral:rRNA from 1 species